rfam:Nitrospirae bacterium GWB2_47_37 gwb2_scaffold_40, whole genome shotgun sequence.
GAUUACCUGCCCUGUUUGUGGUUAGGUGAAAGCGUUUGAUCCCGCAAAUUAGAUUUUUGGGGAGCCGGCGUUAGGUACACGGUGUGCAAGCCUCCCCCGCAAGGGAAGAGAGGAAGCCUAAGUUAUCUUCAAGGCGCCCACCUGUAGACACAGGGAUCUAAUUUUUCACCACACGGCAGGGUGGGCUUAAU